rnacentral:rRNA from 1 species
GCGGAGGAAAAGAAAAUAACAAUGAUUUCCCUAGUAACGGCGAGUGAAGAGGAAAGAGCUCAAAGUUGGAACCUGUUUGGCUUAGCUAAACCGGAUUGUAAACUGUAGAAGUGUUUUCCUGACACGCCAGAUAAAUAAGUCCUUUGGAACAGGGCAUCAUAGAGGGUGAGAAUCCCGUCUUUGGUCUGAGCUGUUGUCUUUUGUGAUACACUUUCAAAGAGUCAGGUUGUUUGGGAAUGCAGCCUAAAUUGGGUGGUAAAUCUCACCUAAAGCUAAAUAUUUGCGAGAGACCGAUAGCGAACAAGUACCGUGAGGGAAAGAUGAAAAGAACUUUGAAAAGAGAGUUAAACAGUAUGUGAAAUUGUUAAAAGGGAACCGUUUGGAGCCAGACUGGCUUGGCUGUAAUCAAUCUAGAUCCUUCUGGAUGCACUUGCAGUCUAUGCCUGCCAACGACAAUUUUUUCUAAAGGAAAAAACCAAGAGGAAUGUGGCCCUUCGGGGUGUUAUAGCCUUUUGGAAAAUACUUUGGAUUGGAUUGAGGAACGCAGCGAAUGCCUUUAGGCGAGAUUGCUGGGCGCUUUUACUAAUAGAUGCUAGAAUUUCUGCUUCGGGUGGUGCUAGUGUUUAAAGGUGAAACUCGUUUAGUAUAUUUUUCAUUCGCUUAGGUUGUUGGCUUAAUGACUCUAAUGAC